rnacentral:rRNA from 1 species
GCGACCCCAUGUCAGGCGGGAUUACCCGCUGAAUUUAA